rnacentral:lncRNA from 1 species
GCCCACCAACUACUAUGGCCCCAAGUCCAGAAACAGUCCCUGAUAUGGCUUCGCCACCGAUGAUGCCGGGAAUGGAUUCUUCUCCUUCUCCGGGACCCAUGCCACCGGCAAUGGCCUCUCCAGAUUCCGGAGCAUUCAAUGUAAGAAACGACGUCGUAGCAAUUUCGUUCCUUGUUGCAGCUCAUUUGCUCCUAGUUUGAGAUUAUUAUUAAAUUGGCCAGCGUCGUGUUUGUGUAAUUUACUUUCAUUUUUUCUCGAGCCAUUAGUUUUCAUGUUUUAUCAUAUAUUUGGGUUUGUGUUUGAUAUGGUACGAUUCAGACAUUUGUUUGCUUAAUAAGUUUAUCGUUGACUCUAUUUGAUGCAUGUGAUGUAAAUUCAUUUUUAUCCAAAUUUUCACAGACGAACUAUCAAUAACCAGUAUUAUCAAUAUAUAUCUCGUUGUUAGUUGGAUGAUAUCAAAUUAUCAAUGCAUAUGGUGGUUCACAAGAAAAGGAAAAAAAAGAGAUAAAUGUGUAUAUAUUUAACAAGCUUGAGGUAACUAUUUGUAGCAAAUAAAAUAAAAUACGUUAGUGAGAAAUGUUAUCUUUCUAGAACGAAUACGAAUAAAGCAAAAAGCUAAAAUUGCAAGCUGUGUGUCAUAAGAAUCGCAUAUGUAAAGAAAAAGAGGUCGCCAUCUUGGAUUUUUCUAUAGAAUAAAUUAUUUUUAAUUCUGUGUAGGUUACAUUUAUUUUAAAAAAUAAAAAAUAAAAAAAACAUUUAUUUUUUUUAUUUUUUUGAGCAAGGUUACAUUUAUUUUAUUUCAUGGAAUAAUACAUGUACAAGAUUUGAAUUUGUAAGAAAAUUAAGAAAAUUCAAAAAAAGAAUGGGAAGAAUAUGAAAGAGGUAGUGAAUAACAAUUGUAGGGAAUAGGGAUAAAGCAGGACUCGAGAGGACAGCUAAAAAGAAAGAGACGUUCACAUGACUGUCUUUUUCAUUUGCCCCCACCAUUUUCCAAUGUGUAUUAUUAGAAAUCAUAACGCAGUUUAAUUGUCUUUAAGUCAUGUUAGUUAUUUAUCUAAAGCCAUGUGGUGCAUAGGUGCUAUGUUUAAAUCAUUUUUUGAAUGAAUGUUAACUUUAUUCAUCAAAAAGCCAUGUGGUACAUAGGUGCUAUGGUUUUUACUGUUAUAAGCUAUACAAAAGGAUACCGUCUGCUACCAAACCAACAUAAAAGAAUGUUUCCAAAUCUAUUAUUAUCGGAUUGCGUCAAUAAUCUGAGAUGAUUUCAAACAUUCUUGUCAAUCAUUUUUGCCAAGGUUUGAUGAGGCGUAGGCGUAGGACCACAAGCCUCAGAUUUUUUGGGUUAGUAAAAAUAUAAAUGUAGAUACAUCAUCAACCUACGGCGUGUUGUUUGUUAGCUAUGGACUGUCAAAUGUGUACAACAUAUUUGUAGGAUUUGAGAUUGGUGUUGUUUACAAGCCCUGCAAGUGAGAACACGGAUGUGGCUGGGAUGUUCUUGGGGAAGUCCAGCCAUGAAGAAGAGAUGCA